GCCGGGGGGAAGAAAGAGAAGGGCGUGUUGUGUCGUGAAGCGUGUUACUUGAGACUUUGGCGCGGUUGGGAACGUGUGCGCACAGAAUUUCUCCCUGUGCUGUGUUUUACGACAUUUGGAUUUUUUUAAAAAAAAUUGGAAAAUCCCUAAUGCACUCUGAAACAAGACCCCUUCCAAUUCCAGGAUACAAGUCAAAAGUGAAAUUCAUCAGCUGCCAUUUUGCUGAAGCAAGAGUCUCUCCAGCUUCUUAGGAACGUCUCUUACGGGUUGUCUUACUUAUCUGGAAAGGACCUGCCUCAUUCCAGAAUCAUGCAGGAGAAUCUGUUUCUUUGCUAAGAGGGCCAGCAAAGUUCUUAAGAAAAGGAAUUCAUGCACUGUUUUUGGUUUAUGGCUUUAUUAUUAAUCACUCUGGUGAUGCCACAAUAUGUACUACAAAAGGUGAUGGUGGAGAGUGCUGUCAAGUCAUAGCUGACUUAUGGCGACCCCUGCUGGGGGUUUCAAUGCAAGAGACUAACAAGAGGUUUUUAUUGCAAAAGGUAAUGCUACAUGAAAAUGAAUUAACUUUUGAUCUAUAGGACGAACGGGCUCACAUACUCACAGUCUUGGGAUCCUGUGUAUAGGGGGAUGAGGGCACCUACUCCCCACUGUGUAUAUUGCAUCUCUGGCCAGGGAGUGUGUGAAACUCCUACAUCUCACCAUGAAAGCUUUUGACUUCUAAGAAAUAUUUAUAUGCCUGAUUAUUCAGAAAGAUAUCAGAUCUACCAGAUUCCUGCACCACCCCAGGCACCAGCCGACAACUUCUUCUUUCAGAGCAAUCCAACAGCAGAUUAGGUUGGAGAAAAAGGAACUGGAAACUUCACAGAGGAAGAGGGAACCACUUUCACAUUUGUGAGAGAUCGUGUCUGGUUUCACCAGUUAGUUAAUUCUCCAUAUAGUUCCUCUUUUACUACCAGCCACAAUGAGGUUGUGCCCUUUGCCUUGUUUUAGAGCAUCCA